AACGCUGGCGGCGUGCUUCAUACAUGCAAGUCGAACGAGAAUCUCUAGCUUGCUAGAGAGGAAAGUGGCGGACGGGUGAGUAAUAUGUAGAGAAUCUGCCCUCGGAGAGGGGGGACGAACAGAGGGAAACUUACUGCUAAUACCCCAUAUGCGCGUAGUUGAGAUACGUAUUCGUGAAAGAUUUAUCGCUCCAGGAUGAGUCUGCAUCUGAUUAGCUAGUUGGGGGUGUAAUGGACCACCAAGGCGACGAUCAGUAGCUGGUUUGAGAGGAUGAUCAGCCACAAUGGGACUGAGACACGGCCCAUACUCCUACGGGAGGCAGCAGUAGGGAAUUUUGCGCAAUGGGCGAAAGCCUGACGCAAGCAACGCCGCGUGAUCGUAGACGCCCUUCGGGGUGUAAAGAUCUGUCAGUAGGGACGAACAAUGACUGUACCUACAGAGGAAGCACCGGCUAACUCCGUGCCAGCCGCUGC
rnacentral:rRNA from 1 species